rnacentral:rRNA from 1 species
AGAGUUUGAUCCUGGCUCAGGAUGAACGCUAGCUACAGGCUUAACACAUGCAAGUCGAGGGGCAGCAUUGGAGUAGCAAUACUCAGAUGGCGACCGGCGCACGGGUGAGUAACACGUAUCCAACCUGCCGCUUACUCGGGGAUAGCCUUUCGAAAGAAAGAUUAAUACCCGAUGGUAUAAAGAGUUCGCAUGUUCUCUUUAUUAAAGAAUUUCGGUAAGCGAUGGGGAUGCGUUCCAUUAGAUAGUUGGCGGGGUAACGGCCCACCAAGUCUACGAUGGAUAGGGGUUCUGAGAGGAAGGUCCCCCACAUUGGAACUGAGACACGGUCCAAACUCCUACGGGAGGCAGCAGUGAGGAAUAUUGGUCAAUGGACGAGAGUCUGAACCAGCCAAAGUAGCGUGAAGGAUGACUGCCCUAUGGGUUGUAAACUUCUUUUAUAAGGGAAUAAAGUGAGGGACGUGUCCCUUUUUGUAUGUACCUUAUGAAUAAGGAUCGGCUAACUCCGUGCCAGCCGCGGC